rnacentral:rRNA from 1 species
CCUACGGGCGGCAGCAGUGAGGAAUAUUGGUCAAUGGACGAGAGUCUGAACCAGCCCAGUAGCGUGAAGGAUGACUGCCCUAUGGGUUGUAAACUUCUUUUAUAAAGGAAUAAAACGCGGCACGUGUGCCUUUUUGCAUGUACUUUAUGAAUAAGGAUCGGCGAACUCCGUGCCAGCAGCCGCGGUAAUACGGAGGAUCCGAGCGUUAUCCGGAUUUAUUGGGUUUAAAGGGAGCGUAGAUGGGUUGUUAAGUCAGUUGUGAAAGUUUGCGGUUCAACCGUAACAUUGCGAUUGAUACUGGCAGUCGUGAGUACAGUAGAGGUAGGCGGAAUUCGUGGUGUAGCGGUGAAAUGCUUAGAUAUCACGAAGAACCCCGAUUGCGAAGGCAGCUUACUAAACUGUGACUGACAUUGAUGCUCGAAAGUGUGGGUAUCAAACAGGAUUAGAUACCCUUGUAGUC